rnacentral:rRNA from 1 species
UACGGAGGGUGCGAGCGUUGUCCGGAAUCACUGGGCGUAAAGGGCGCGUAGGCGGCGCGGGCAGUCAACGGUGAAAGCUCGGGGCUCAACCCCGAGUCGGCCGUCGAUACUCCCCGUGCUCGAGCACUGUAGAGGCAGGUGGAAUUCCGGGUGUAGCGGUGGAAUGCGUAGAGAUCCGGAAGAACGACCGGUGGCGCAAGGGCGGCCUGGAGCUGGGCCAU